rnacentral:rRNA from 1 species
AGUGAACGCUGGCGGUAGGCCUAACGCAUGCAAGUCGAACGGCAGCACAGUAAGAGCUUGCUCUUACGGGUGGCGAGUGGCGGACGGGUGAGGAAUACAUCGGAAUCUACUUUUUCGUGGGGGAUAACGUAGGGAAACUUACGCUAAUACCGCAUACGACCUACGGGUGAAAGCAGGGGAUCUUCGGACCUUGCGCGAUUGAAUGGGCCGAUGUCGGAUUAGCUAGUUGGCGGGGUAAAGGCCCACCAAGGCGACGAUCCGUAGCUGGUCUGAGAGGAUGAUCAGCCACACUGGAACUGAGACACGGUCCAGACUCCUACGGGAGGCAGCAGUGGGGAAUAUUGGACAAUGGGCGCAAGCCUGAUCCAGCCAUACCACGUGGGUGAAGAAGGCCUUCGGGUUGUAAAGCCCUUUUGUUGGGAAAGAAAAGCAGCAGGUUAAUACCCCGCUGUUCUGACGGUACCCAAAGAAUAAGCACCGGCUAACUUCGUG